GUGCCAGCCGCCGCGGUAAUACGAAGGGGGCGAGCGUUGUUCGGAUUUACUGGGCGUAAAGGGCGCGUAGGCGGCGCGAGAAGUCAGGCGUGAAAGCCCCGGGCUCAACCUGGGAAUGGCGCUUGGGACUCUCGUGCUCGAGUUCGGGAGAGGAGAGUGGAAUUCCCAGUGUAGAGGUGAAAUUCGUAGAUAUUGGGAAGAACACCGGUGGCGAAGGCGGCUCUCUGGACCGAGACUGACGCUGAGGCGCGAAAGCGUGGGGAGCAAACAGGAUUAGAUACCCUGGUAGUCC
rnacentral:rRNA from 1 species